CGCAUGAAGCAGCCUCUAUCCCUUUGAUGCAGUAAUUAAUGAUAUCAAAAAUGAAGCAAUGCCCAUUGGAAACCUUCGAUGAUGAUGACGGCCAUGCCCCAUUUUGCUCAAAAUUUGAGUCACCCUUUUCGGGCUUUCAACUCAAAUCCAUCUUUGGUCAAAGCGCCCUUUGCGGGUUUUCGCUUCGGCCUCUCAUUUUCUUUUUCCUUUUCCCCCUCUUUUUCAUUUUCAUUUUUUGACUUUGAUUUUGAUUUUUCCUUUUUGCUUUUGCUUUUGAUUUUGAUUUUUCUUCCCCCUUUUUUUUUUGAAUUGGAUCUGAACUCAUAAGAUUAGGAAAGUCUUUGUUAUCCCUUUCGAAGAAUCUUAUUUCCUUCAGAGAGCCUUUUGGGGCACAACUACGACAGAGAACUUUGGAUCUUCCUCUUUAAUCAGGAUAAAAUCCCACAACUUUGAAGAGAUGGAAACUCGACUUCCA
rnacentral:lncRNA from 1 species